AAGUCGUAACAACGGUUUCCGUAGGUGAACCUGCGGAAGGAUCAUUACUGAGUGAGGGCCUCUGGGUCCAACCUCCACACCGUGUUUAUGUACCUUGUUGCUUCGGCGGGCCGCCUUAUGCGCCGGGGGCUACGCUCCGGCCGCGCCGCCGAAGAACCCUCGAACUCUGUCUGAAGAUUGUAGUCUGAGUGGAAUUAUAAAUUAUUAAAACUUUCAACAACGGAUCUCUUGUUCCGGCAUCGAUGAAGAACGCAGCGAAAUGCGAUACGUAAUGUGAAUGCAGAAUUCAGUGAAUUAUCGAGUCUUUGAAAGCACAUUGCGCCCCUGGUAUUCCGGGGCAUGCUGUCCGAGCGUCAUUGCUGCCCUCAGCACGCUUGUGGUUGGGCCCGUCCUCCGAUCCGGGGAGCGGCCGAAAGCAGCGGCGGCACCGCGUCCGUCCUCGAGCGUAUGGGGCUUUGUCACCCGCUCUGUAGGCCCGGCCGGCGCUUGCCGAUCAAACCACAUUUUUUCCAGGUUGCCUCGGAUCAGGUAGGGUACCCGCUGAACUUAA
rnacentral:rRNA from 1 species